UGUUACUUGGAGUUUUUGUAUAAUUUUGAAAGAAAGCUAGCAUACCUUUUUGUCCUCAUAGGUUCUCUCAGAUCACUCAUUAUCUUUUAUAUAUCUCACUGAGGCUGUUUUAAUUUGCAAAAAAUUCUCAAGCAUACUUACUUUGUAUUUAUUGCCUGAUCAAAACAGGAUCCAAGGAGGGGAAUGUCAUACUCUUAGAUCAAAGACUUUGGAAAUUAAAACUUUGUCAACUCUUGCUGGCAUAUUGCUUAUUAGAGGGACCAUGGGCUAUCAUUUUUUUAAGUGGAUACCGAGGUAUCCCUAAUUCUACUACCGGACACUUGUCCAUUUUUCCUACGAGGUUGUCGAGCACUUGCUCCUUUUUAUUUCCUCGAAAUAUCUUUAUUUUUGCAUAGCCCAUGCCUCUAAUGCAAUAAUACUU
rnacentral:lncRNA from 1 species